GGUUCGGAGACGAGUCAGCGGCUGAGGGGAUGAGAAGGCAUUGGUGGCAGUAGGAGCAGAAGUUGCGGCGGCGGCGGCGGCGGCCACAAAGAGCUGUAAGGGAGCGAGAGCCGGUACAACCAGUGUGGGCCCAGCGGGUUUCCUUGAUCAUGGAUUGUGGAGAAAUGCCUGAUUUUUCAUGUCCAGAGGAAGAAACUGCAUACUGGAAGGAACUUUCUUUGAAGUACAAGCAAAGUUUCCAGGAGGCACGUGAAGAGUUGGCUGAAUUCCAGGAGGGCAGCAGAGAAUUGGAAGCAGAAUUGGAAGCCCAGCUAUUGCAAGCGGAACAGAGGAACCGGGACUUGCAAGCAGACAACCAAAGACUUAAGCAGGAAGUGGAAACAUUAAAGGAGAAGCUUGAGCAUCAGUAUUCACAGAGCUACAAGCAAGUGUCUUUGUUGGAAGAUGACCUUAGUCAGACACGGACAAUUAAAGACCAGUUGCAUAAAUAUGUGAGAGAACUAGAGCAAGCCAAUGAUGACCUUGAGCGUGCCAAAAGGGCUACAAUCGUGUCCUUGGAAGACUUUGAACAAAGGCUGAAUCAGGCUAUCGAGAGAAAUGCUUUUUUGGAAAGUGAGCUGGAUGACAAGGAAUCUUUGCUAGUUUCUGUACAAAGACUGAAGGAUGAAGCAAGAGAUUUAAGGCAAGAACUGGCAGUGAGGGAAAGGCAGCAGGAAGUAACUCGGAAAUCAGCCCCAAGUUCUCCAACUUUAGACUGUGAGAAGAUGGAUUCAGCUGUCCAGGCCUCUCUAUCUCUGCCAGCAACACCUGUUGGGAAAGGCUGUGAGAACAGUUUUCCUUCACCCAAAGCUAUUCCCAACGGAUUCGGUACCAGUCCUCUCACUCCAUCUGCCAGGAUAUCUGCACUCAACAUUGUGGGUGAUCUCCUAAGAAAAGUGGGGGCCUUGGAAUCCAAACUAGCUGCUUGCAGAAACUUUGCAAAAGACCAAGCAUCACGGAAAUCUUAUGUUUCAGGGAAUAUAAACAGCAGCAUGAUCAACAGCAAUGGCAUGAAGUUCUGUCAUUCAGGGCAUACAACGUUCUACGACAAAGCCCCCUGUACUCUUCUCCCUGCCCCCACUUGUCGCUGGAUCCUGAAUCAGCCACGUAUGCUUGUGGACCCGACCCUGUCUGCUGCUGCUGCCUUAUGAAAAACCUGUGGUUGGGUGGUGGGACUGACUGAGGUCAGAUUCCCUACAAAUGUCAUGGGGCAGUCAAUGGCUUUGACCAGGGCCCGCCACCAGGUCUAGGAGGUUCCAGACCCUCAUCGGCACCGGGCAUGCUCCCACUGAGUGUAUGAACAAUUGCAAGGCCACAUUGUGACUUGAAAUUCCUUCUGGAAGGAACAAGGAAAGAGCUGCUUGCAAUACUUUUCCAUUAGUGCCCCCUGCUGGAGUUGAAUGGAUGUUUCAUCACUCUGAAGCUGCCUGGAAAAGAUCCCAGCACACAUACAGCACUCCUUACGUCAAUACAGUCUAUUUUCUUCUGUUUCCAUCGUGGACAUUCUUUGACGUGGUCACCGCUGAUGUCUCACACGAUGCUGGAGUCACACUUGCCCAAAUCACCUUGUUCUGUCUGCCGCCGCCCCCCAAUUUUGUGAGUUUGCUCACAUGGGUCUGCAUUGAUGCUGACUUGUCCCUUAGCAACGCCUCUCCCCCACCUUUUCACACUGCUUUCUCCAAACUUCACAUUUAAGCAUACAAAGAUCCUCUGUGCUGCUUUCUCUUUCCCAGAAUAAAUCUAUUCGUGUUAAAAAGCAGUUGGAGAAGGCCUGGACUUCUGUGUCCAACUGGUACACACGGGUUUCAGUGUGAACUUGUAUUUACAGAAUGGCCCUUCCACACUCCCAAUGCAAGUGAUGUAGGUGAGGGGUCCUGGGAACUGACCCAGCACCCGUGCUAAGGCUCUGAGAUGUGGGCCAAGGAAAAUAGCUAGAUGUGGAGCAUGAGAAACAUAGGUGUGCAAUUAUAUAUUUUGCCACUAAAGCUGCUGGUUUUUCAAAUGGAUAAUUCUUAUCCCAGUUUUACCAUUCUUUUUCUGUCAGCUUCAUCCCAUUCAGCUGGUGUUGCCUGUUUUAUUUCCAGAAACCAGCAUAGGCUUGGUCUGGUUUGUGUGAGUUGCUUGUGAGCAAGGGAAGGAGGAGGAAGUCAAAGCCAAGGCAGGCUUGGGGGAAGGGGGAGGGGGCAAAUGUACCACUCACUGUUUUGGAUUUUGUCUGCCCUUUUCCUGUGCAUCCUUUGCUGCAUUGACUGUUUACAUUUGUUUUACUGUAUAUAGGUUUGUAAACAUAAUAUCUUUGCCUAAGAUGUUUGUACAUAACUUGGGCUUUGUAGCUUUAUUUAUUCAGAAUCUCUGAGGCAUGUUUUCCCUAGGACAGUGUAUCAGGUUUCUGUGGUGACUGCCAUCCUGUGGUUCAACAAGAGAGAUGGUCCAAAAAUAAAGAUCUUUUAAUGUGGACACAGUGGCUUUUGCACAAAA